rnacentral:rRNA from 1 species
AUAAGGGAACACUGAGUGCUAGCAUUUAUGUUACCUGUCCACAUGUGUAAAUAGCAUGUGAUAGCGAGGGCUGGGCAAGAUCGGUGCCAGC